UCAGAGAUAAGUAUUGACAAAUUAAAAUAGUGUUCAUUAAAGAUCACUUUCAGACAUCUUUUUGACAUUUCCUUUAAGACUUAUUUUUUAGAAAAAAGUUUCAGAAAUAUCCUAUAUGAGAGCGCUUAAAGAUUGCUUUAAAGUAAUCAUAUUAGAUAUCUUUUAGAUAAAGUUGUGUAUGACAAUUUGAAACGCAUGCAUAGUUUUCUAAAAGUUGUCCAAACUGAUAUGAAAAAAGAUGACUUUCGGAGUUUCGGAGCGCGCUCCAGGCGCGCUCUCUCAGCGGUCGCCCUGUCUGCUACUCUUUUGAGGUUAUUUUUCCGCGAGUUUUCUUUUUGGCAACUUUUGGAAUAUCGCUACACCUCCAACGACUUUUUCCAAGAAAUCUUAAAAUGCGGACUGUAAGAGUUCUUAAUGUGUAUACUUCGAAAUUCCAUCGGCUUGUGAGGAGUGCGUUAGUGCAUUGUGAAAUAACACGGCGUUUCGCAUGGCGGAAUAAACAGUUUUUACAAUUAUUAUACGUAUAUAUCGUUGAAUGCUAACAGCUGCAUUUCUAUUGAUCAGUGCAUUUUGUGGAGUCCAGUACGCGGCUCAAGGCUUGGCUGAAGGUGUUUCGAACUCUACAUUUUUCAACAAUUUACAAAGGUGAAUUCAACAUUUUUUAUUAAUGAUUUAGACCAGGAAACUGUUUGAGAAUGUCAAGUAGAAAACCUUUUGACGAACUGUCUGCUAGACAGCAGAAGCGACGUCUUUCUAAAUCUUUUCAAAAUAGUUUACAACAUUUGAUUAAUAUUGAUAAGACUACUUUAACUUUUACUUAUUAGCUUUAAAUUUUGAAUAUUAAAAUACGUUUAUGUAUAAUGUUGCACUUUUUCUUUUUAUAGGAGUAAUUAAGGAUAAGCUCAACGCUCCUGAAGACUAGAUAAUAAAACGCAUGCAAAAAUGGUUGCAAAAGACUGGAGACCGCAAAAGAUACAAAGAACAACAAGCCAGGAGACAAGCUCAGUUAGAAAAUAAUAACGAGAGAAAUUUAUUUAAUCGUGUCUUAUGACUCCAUUGUCAUAACUAUUAAAAUAUUGUUUAUUUAUUUAAUGAUAUUUGCCUGAUGCAGUAUUUAUAGAUUACCAAAUAUUAUAAUGUAUCUGCUUUAAAUGUAGAUGCAUGCUACUUCUUUUGUAAAACUUAUUUUAAUAAGUUAGUACUAUUAUUUUCGAUUACUUUCGUAUAAAUUUAAUUUUUGUAACUUGAUGUGAUAACAUUAUGGCUGUCUGUGACAGUGAUCAAUGAUCUACGUACAAAUGUGCCUUACCAAUGAAACUAAAAAAUAAAUAUUCAUGUUUAAUUUUUUUAA